GAAGAAUUGAUUUCAGACUUGCAGCGUUAAGCAAAGCUAGCGGGCAUAACUAGGUUAUGUUUAGGAAAAUGGUAUCGGAUCGGAAGAAGAGCAGCAACCUGAAGACUCAGCUAGACCUGAAGAUGUGGAGACAAUAGUUGAAUGGGGACACCGAUGCAUCCAGGAUCCUCCUUCAUUGUAAACAUGCAGCAGUGUGGGUUGAGGCCAACAAGCACAAGUUCUCUGCCACAGUGGACCCACCUGCCGUACUGUCCACGGGGGAAGAGAAACAGGCAGAGGCUGCUGUAAAAUAUGGAAAGUUGUGCCAUGAAUACAUGGAGGAGCAGGACAAAGAGGCAAUCCUGGAGCCUUUCAUGUUUAUGUUCGAUUGCAUUGAUGACAUGUUGACAUUCUGCCAGGAGAUUAUUGAUAAGAGAAGGUAUGUGACAUAUUGUGAAUGUCGCACAAAUAUUACCAAAGAAUAAAAGA